GGAGUUUGGGUGUUUUUGUCACAACGCAUGUUGUCACAACGCAUGUUGUGACAAAAUGUUUUUUCAAGCCUUUUGGUCAUAUGUUGACAAAACGUGUGUUCACGCACGUUCGCGUGUUUGGUGAUGAAACACAUUUCCUCGCGUUUUUCAGGUACUGGGUGAUGACAUGCAUGAGCAUGCGUGUUCACGCAUUAUCAGGUAUCGGGUGACAACACACGUGUUCACUCGUCUUCAGGCAUGUGGUGACCAAAUGCAUUUCCACGGGUUUUCAGGCAUAGGAUGACAACACGUGUGUUCACGUGUGUUCACACGUGUUCGGGUCUAUGCUGACAAUGUGUGGGUUCACACCUGUUAGCCAUGUUGUGACAAAUCACAUUUUCAGGUAUAUGGUGACAACAUGUGUGUUCAUUUGUGUUCACGCCUGUUCAGAGCUCAGGUCUUCAGAAGGAUAUUCAAAACCCUUUUUGGAUAGGACCAGGAAACACAAAAAGUUUCUGUGUUCGGAGACAUGAAAUUUGCAAGACAUGCUGACUGUGUACAUACAUCGUUUUAUCCUGAAAUGUGAAAGAUAAAAGUUAACCCUACAGUGGCUGCUGAAGUGGAACUCCUUUUAAGAUUUCCCCCCCACACUUUUAAAUUAUACUGUUUAGGUAAAGCCUACCUUUACAGUUUGCAAUAAAAAUCAUUCAAACUAGGUUUUCUCA
rnacentral:lncRNA from 1 species